rnacentral:rRNA from 1 species
UUUCUCUCUCUGACAACCUGCGGAGGGAUCAUUACUGAGUUUACGCUCUACAACCCUUUGUGAACAUACCUAUAACUGUUGCUUCGGCGGGUAGGGUCUCCGUGACCCUCCCGGCCUCCCGCCCCCGGGCGGGUCGGCGCCCGCCGGAGGAUAACCAAACUCUGAUUUAACGACGUUUCUUCUGAGUGGUACAAGCAAAUAAUCAAAACUUUUAACAACGGAUCUCUUGGUUCUGGCAUCGAUGAAGAACGCAGCGAAAUGCGAUAAGUAAUGUGAAUUGCAGAAUUCAGUGAAUCAUCGAAUCUUUGAACGCACAUUGCGCCCGCCAGCAUUCUGGCGGGCAUGCCUGUUCGAGCGUCAUUUCAACCCUCAAGCUCUGCUUGGUGUUGGGGCCCUACAGCUGAUGUAGGCCCUCAAAGGUAGUGGCGGACCCUCCCGGAGCCUCCUUUGCGUAGUAACUUUACGUCUCGCACUGGGAUCCGGAGGGACUCUUGCCGUAAAACCCCCAAUUCUCCAAAGGUGACCUCGGAUCAGGUAGGAAUACCCGCUGAACUUAA